UCCUGGGGGCUCAGAUGGUAAAGAAUCUGCCUCCAAUGCAGGAGACCCAGGUUCAAUCCCUGGGUCAGGAA
rnacentral:tRNA from 1 species